UCCAGCUUCUCGGCGCUGCCACGGAGGCUGCCGAGCUUCUGGCCUCCCUCCGGAGCGAAAUCCCAAUUGGAGGCACGUGCAGAGGACCGAGGCCCGCAAGGUGCACCCCGCCAGCUCCGGCGCCCGGCGCUCGUGCGGCGGUGUGCUUCAGCACCCAGGUGUGCCUUAGCUCCCACAGGCGCCCGGGCAGCACCCGGCCAUUCACCAGGCCUCUACCUGGCCAGGGCCUCCUGCGAACGAGGCUACGAAGUCAGGGACUCCUGGACGACAGACAACACCGGCACCAGGAAAAAGCCCAGGAGCGACGCCGAGUGGCACAGCCAAAGUUUGGUAUUUGAAUUGCUUCCAGCUUGAAGACUCUUAUGAACAAAGGUACUGUGAUCAUUUUUGAUGUGAACUGCUGUUAUUCUGGUGAUGCUGGUGGUUUGCAGGUGCAGAUGCUGGGCUCUGGCAUGUAAAAGCCUAGAUCAAAGUCACCUUGCCCAAGCCCUCAAGAGUUCCCCGACCCCAGAGCUGCCCCUCACAUUCUCCUUCAGGUACCACAGAGAAGCCAUGCAGUAUCUCUGUUUAAGCAGAAUCUCAGGGUGGAAGAUCUGAAAAUGGACUAAAGUUGGAGGACUCUUGACACCAGGAUAAGAAGUGGGCACUACUUUGAAGCCAUGCUGGACUGGGCUCUGUGACCAGCCCCUCACUCAGUUCACUGUCCUCUGGCCUGUGGAGGCCUCUGGUCAGGCUCAGACACACUCAGACCUCCUGGGUCUGCAUUCCUGCUGUGCCCCAUCCUUGCUGGGGGCACAUUCUCCCCCUGUGAGUCCAACCACCUGCACCUCUUCCCAGCGUCCUUAUGCACCAGCAGAAUCCUAAGAGUGCUUCCUAGUCUUAGUGCUCUGUGGGCCCCAGCCCUGGGCCAGCUUCCUGGCCACCCCAUUGAUGCUGCUAAUGGGACAGUGUGAAAUCCAGGAGAUCUGAGCCCAAACCCCUGAGGCCCUGGGGACAAAGCAGCACCAGAGUUGCAAAGCCUUGGGUCCAUGACAAAAUACAGGGUAUGAUAUGGGUUGGAAAGAAGAGUGUUCUAGGGGAGAGUGAGGUCCCCUUGCCCUGCAUGUCUCAUCUGCUCCCCCCAGUGUGUGCUGGGUGGGCCCCUUCUUACCCUUGCAGAGACCUCGGGGGAUGCUGACAUGGCAGGGCUGUGGCAGGUUCAGCCAGGGACCUAGAGUGUUGGGAGGGCUGGUCUGGUCUGGGGGCUGGGUCCUGGGGCAGCUGAUCCCUUCCUCUGGCAAAGCUUCUCUUUCCCUCUAUCAUUCCCUCAGCACAGCCUGGGCUUUUUCAGCUUCCCAGCUUGGAGGCUGCAGCAUCCCCAGCCCCAGCUGCACAUUCUGCUCAUUGGGCUCCUCCUCCUCCUGGCCAGCUGCCCAGUCACACUCUCCGGCCACACCUCACUCCCCCACUCCCUGCCUCUCUCCUGAGACCAGCACAAGAACCAUUUGCUCAUAAAGGGUUGCGAGUACCAAACCCACAGGCUGGGACAUGCUCCAGAGGACCCAGCACAGGGCUACAACCAGAUUCCAGCACGUAGGAUUCUCACUCAGGAUCGGAGACCCCAGGACCCUUCCUGAGAGGCUGUGGGAAUUGGGGCUGGGAGCCGCUCGAGGGAUGUUGGGGGCUAUGCAUUAUACGCUUCUGGCUCUUACAGAAUCUGCUCUGGGGCUUUUGUUGCAAAGGAUAGGUCAGCCUAGAAUUCUCUGAUGGUCUUUGUCCAGAUUCCUCAGAAAACCACUCUCACCUUCUUCUGCUCUGGGCAGUGCUGAUUCAGAGACAAGAGUGAGAAUGAGUCGACCAGUUUGCCCUUGACUGGCAGAGCAGCGACAAAAACAGUGAUCCCAGGGAGACUGUGGGGCUCCAGCUGCUCUCUGGUGCCACGGAGCCCAGCCGGUCUCCAAGGACAGCAGCAGGGGCAUCCCCUGGCACUUCCUCUGUCCCCCUUCCCUGAGAGGAGGGCACACCUGCUAUACCUGUCUCUACCCCGCAGCGACUUGCUCAGGAAAGCCUCAGGGACAGGGCUGUGGGGAGGGAGGUAUGGCCAAGGGAGUGGAGUCUUGGUCACAGAGGACCAGAGGCUGAGGCAUCACAUCUCAAACCAUCAUUUGAGUGUGUUCCUUGUAACCCAGGCAAUCAACACGUUCUGGGGAAAAAGUGUUUCAAAAGCAAAACCAAGUUUGGGUAACACUGCUCCAACCUCUUUGGGGGAAGGAUAGGUCGCAGUGCAAGUUGACAUAGUAAAGGCUCUGAGAAGGUAUGU